CCCGCACAAGCGGAGGAACAUGUGGUUUAAUUCGAUGAUACGCGAGGAACCUUACCCGGGCUUGAAAUGCAAUCGACUGUAGUGGAACAUUACUCCAGCAAUGGCGAUUGUGUAGGUGCUGCAUGGUUGUCGUCAGCUCGUGCCGUGAGGUGUCGGCUUAAGUGCCAUAACGAGCGCAACCCUUAUCAUUAGUUGCCAUCGGGUCAUGCCGGGAACUCUAAUGAGACUGCCACCGUAAGGUGUGAGGAAGGUGGGGAUGACGUCAAAUCAGCACGGCCCUUACGUCCGGGGCGACACACGUGUUACAAUGGGGGGUACAGCGGGCAGCUACCUGGCGACAGGAUGCUAAUCUCUGAAAGCCUCUCUCAGUUCGGAUCGGAGUCUGCAACUCGACUCCGUGAAGCUGGAUUCGCUAGUAAUCGCGCAUCAGCCAUGGCGCGGUGAAUACGUUCCCGGGCCUU
rnacentral:rRNA from 1 species